AAUGCAUGACUUUGUCAAUUAUGUGAUUUCAUAAUUGCAAGAAAUACAUAUCCAUAAUAUAUAUUAAGCGUGAUUUUAUAUUGCAGCAUAAUUGCAAGGAACUAUAGAUGCAGCAUAAAUGUAUUCUGAGGUAUCCGCAACAUCGCAUUGGCCGUAAUUUCCUGCCAUAUAAAAGUUUGCAGCAUAACCGCAACUGCAACCACGAUUUAAAGUAUGCUAGUAAGCCAACUAUAACAAACAAACAGUGAAUAUGGAAGAUGCCGAUGAGAUGCUAAAUAUUAGGAAGCAUUAGAGAAAAGCCAGAAAAUGAAGCAGCAACACUCAAAAGUUAUAAUGUUGAUUGUUGAUACUCUAAGCUAAACCAGACAACUGAAGGUAGCUCUGUUCUAAGAGUUGCUGCUUGGAUCUCAUUUGACUCUUCAUUGUAUAACUCCUUCCAGCAUUCACUUACAGCUUCAAUGAAGUGCUUAGAUACUACACUUGAUCAAUAACUCAUUCUCAUCACUUCAAUUUACCUACAUGACAACAUCACAGGUUGAUUGGCGACGUCCGUCCAUAUCUUCUGGUCCAAACUGUAUCAUGCGUUGUCAUACCUCUUGUGGCCAUUUUAUUGCUUCCAAUGUACACACAUUCAACGUAUUGGCUAUGGGAUGCAGAUUGCCUGCAGCAUCAAAAUUAAAUAAGUAACAACUCUUGGCAUUUCACCACAUGAACCUUCGUUCUCAAUAAGGAUUAUUGAGAUUGUGCGGCGGUCCAUGAUGACGGUCACCACUAAUAGCAGCGCCGCAUUAAGGAUCCUUUCCAACUUCCCGCUAUCUCGGAACCCUAGCACAAGACUCUCUUUCUUCGAUUUCCUUUUUGCUGUUUGAGAAUUCGAGAAACCUUAUGCUGAAUGUUUCUUGUUUAACUUUAAUUGAGGACUUAAACCCCUAAGUUGUGAUGUUGAUGUGUUGAAACUCACUGAAGAUCCCAGUGGAUUCGACUUGGUUGAUCUGUAUGUGGAGCACGAGGUUGAUAACCCUGACAUAAUAGACGAGGCAGAGGCAUUUCAGGGAGUUGAUGUUGUUGAUGAUCUUAAAGUUAACAAUGAUAAGGAGAAUAAUGUUGUAGUUAAUGAUGAUGUUGAAUGGUGGCCUGCCCGCUCCAAGUUGCGAGUUGGCCCAUGGGACUUGUGCGAAGGCACCUGUCUUAUGGGUCUUAGACAGGAGGGUAUAGCGUGAGGCUGGUUUCACAGAGCAGCGAACACUUCCUACUCUUGACAGUGGAAGGAUCACAAGCCGUUGUACCUCCAGUCCACAACACCUGGGUAAGUUCGUUCUUCUUGUGGCACCAACCAUUGAGUUUCACCAAAUUUCUAUGCCUCAAUUGACUUCUGCUGAGUAUUGCUUUAUACCACCUUGGCCAAGCUUUUGUGUCUCUUCAAAGUUGUUUGUUGCAUUCAACAGCUCAUAAUAACUCAUCUUCGUAGUCCAACAUUCAUUUGGAAUUCAUCAUCCAUAUCCAGAUCAGAUAAGCAUAUCUUCAUGAAAAUCAUAAUCUGGUUGGCUUGUACUAAAAGACCAUGACAUCAGCAUAUGUUCCUCAUCUACAGUUCCUGUUGAAGCUGAUAUGCCAACAAUAACAUAUUCUGGUAAGUGCUCUCUUAGAUCAAUGAUGUGUGAAAAGUUUUGUGGCUCUUGCCCUUCAUUCAAUAUGUAUCUAGUGCUCUCUUACUUUACACCUGGUGUAUCCAGAUUGUCGAAUUAAUUAAGAUCAGAUGGAGCAGUGGCUUUCAUUUUCUACAGUUUAGAUGACUAAGGAAUCGGUUAUGAAAAAAUUGAAUUGCUCCACUUAGGAAUAUAACAUUCUUGGAAUCAUACACUUGUAGCCAAUUUUAUCCUAUCAAUCUGCAGAAGUAAACAUAACAUAUGUAUUGAUCUAGUUAAAGGAAACAAAUUUGAACUAGGUUUGGUGGGGUGUGCCCGGCUAUUGCAACAGUGCAACGCAAAAGCGACACUUGAGAGACCCAAUAGCAAGCUAUUGAAGUGGACUCUCCCCCUCAAGAAAUAAAUUUAAUAUCGUGUGAACCAUUGGCUCACAUAUCAGAUAUUAAACUGAUAAGAACAGAUACUACACUUGAUCUUAGCCAAAAGGCCGAGAAAGGUAUGAGUUGAAAUACAUGCUUGUUGUGUUUUUUAUAAUUGACAUCUGUUAUGUUUCUUACUUCACUAACCGAGGUGGGACUCUUAUGCAGCAAAUUAGAACAUUAGGUUUCAUAACUGCAAACUUGCUAUUAUAUCAUAAUACAAGUUGAAGAUCUCUACACUCUCAUUUCCUUCCUCUUGAUUCUAAAUAUUUUCACUUCGUGAGUAAACAUCAAGACCUUACUCACAUUUGACAGCAAAAUCUACUUUGUAAAUUAGCUUGUUUGCCUAUAAUAUUUUCUAUACUAGUGCUCCUAAUUGGUAGUUUGGUUGAAGUGAACACCAUUUUUAUGUCCACGUGUUUAUCAUUUAUUUAAGCAAAAUCAUUUCUAUAUGUCAGCUAUACUGCAUCAUUAGUUGGAAGUCAUAUUCAUACUGAUUAAGUCAAAAUGUUCAACAUCAACAAUGUAUUUCCCAACUUCUGUGAGAUUGAUCAACAAAAGGGUGCACGCUGGUACUGAUUGUUGGUGGUGAUCUAUCAUAUAUUAAAUGCAUUGUGAAAGGAGAAAAGGAGUAUCUUUGAAUCUAGUAUUUCUCUUGGAUCAAUGAUUUCCAUUUGAUAGCCGUAGUAACCAACUGGAGUAUCAUGCAUUGUCAUACCUUUUAUUGCAGGUUCUUUGGUGACGUCCGUCCAUAUCUUCUGGUCCAAACUGUAUCAUGCCUUUUCGUACCUCUUAUGGCCAUUUUGUUGCCUCCAAUGUACAUACAUUCAACGCAUAUGGACUGCAGGUUUGGAUAUUAUGAUAUCAUUUGAAUUAGUGUUCCUAUCAACACAAGUAUGAUGUAGCUUGCUAUUAUGUAACAUUAACUAAACUAAGAGGGGGAUUGUAUACUUCACAUUUAUUUUUUGCUUCAUGCAAAGAUUGCCUGCAGCUUCAAAGAUUUUAGUGUAAGUCUUCCUUAAGAGAGCUCACGGAACAAAGAAAUCAGUUAGUGAUUAAACAUCAAGACAUUGCUAGUUCUGUUCAAGUGAAAACCAUUUUUUAUAUAAAAAUGAUAGCUGCUUGUUAUGGCAGAACAAUCAAAAUUAUUGCAGCUUUAAUUAACCAAAGUGUGAAUUCUUUAUUCAACGCGCAGAAUAACAACUUCAUUGGUAAACUAUGUUAUU